GAUUUUUUACAUACAGAUACAUAUAUGUAUAAAUAUCUGUAUAUAUGUAUGUAUGUAUGUAUAUACUAAAAUCCUGUCUUACAAAUAAAGAAUUCUCAUUUUUAUUUCAAGUUUUAUAAAGAAUGGUUAUUAUGUUGAAGUGAUAAAAUCUCUUGAAGCUUGAGUCUUAAGGAGCAAAGUUAUGGACAGAAUUUCCAGACACAUCUAGUGUAUUUUCCCUAGCUGGUCUACCAACAGCAAAGCCCUCAACCAACUCAAACCCCACAAUUUUUCUUAAAGGAGUGAAAGUUUGUGUCUAGAUUCACACAGAAAGUGUGCCUUGUGACUCCCGCACGUCCCUCCUGGCACGGAGUCAGUCACUAGGAGCUUCUGUGCCAGUUUGGGAUCAGCACAGUGGCGUACGAUUACCCUGAGCCCAUCACCACGUUCCCACCCCUUCAGUUUUGCCUCAUUUUGAUGAUGUUCAUCUUCCUCUUGGCUCCCGUUCUCAAGGCUUUACACUGAUGUAGAAGCUAGUGGGACGUGGAUUGAGCAUGAAAAGGAUCCCCACAGCUACAGACUUCUUGCUAAUUGAUGCUUAGUGCCUAAAAGGGUCAGUGUCCUGGGGACUGAGACAAAACAUGGCUAUUUUUAGAAAGCAAUUCAGCCACAGCAAGCAUCGUGGCAGGUACAUAUGCAGUGAAGCAUUGGACCCAAGGCCCAUGCUUAGAGAACUUACUAUUGGGUUGGACAUAGUCAAUCCAGCAGCAUUAACUGACAAAAAGUCCACAGUUCUGCAAGGCUAAAAAAGAAAGGGCGCUGUAUAAUAUCUUUGGAAAAGGACCCAAGUCUCGAGUUUCUUCUCUCCCUUACUAAAGGAUUUUUCUGAUGAUAAACUUGGAAGUGACACUUGCAAGAGGAAAUGUAAACCAGGGAGGAAUUACUUUCCCCUUUGAGAGUUGUGAUGAGCUCAAAUGUAUUAUUCCAAGAUCCCAAACAUUUCACUGUAGUAACCAAUGAGAAGUCACUCGUGAUCUUUUGAGCCAGUCUCUUUCUAGAUCAUCCGUAAUUUCUAGCGACAACCACAUCACUAAUGGGCAGUAAGGAAAACUCACAUGGUGACCCAGGUAAGCGCACAGACACACACACAGACACACACACAGACACACAGACACAGACACAGACACACACACACACACACACACACACACACACACACACACACCCUCCAGGCAGCUACAGAUUUCAAUCUUUCCUGCAUGCCUGGUUGAGAGGAACAGGAAUCUACUUGAGGGACUGUGGCCUGCGGAAUGAAUUGUUACCUUUGUGAGGUGCAUCGCUUGUUUCCAUGGCAGCACAGGAGACAAAGAGUACAUUUAGUUUGUGGAAAAGGAUGGGGGCAGGGGAAGAAACAGAAACCAGAGGAUCGUGCAAUCAUGGCGCUUUCAAAUCCCUCCAGGAAGUUUAUGUUUCAAGUCCUUUGCAAGAGUGAAAUGCAGCUGUUUAAAACAGAGCUGUUUACUGACGGGCCGCAGUCCCCCAUAAGUGCUCUUGGUACCACCUCUGCAGCCUCAAGGAUGACAGGUCACUGCUUGUAGACUUAGCUAGCCUAAGCAGGCUUAUGCCUACCCC
rnacentral:lncRNA from 1 species